rnacentral:lncRNA from 1 species
CGCACCUGCUCGUUCACUGGCGGAUUCGGGAUGGCACCAAGCGAGACCAGGCAUACAUGCAUGUAACACGCAAACUUUUCUCGUGGUGAUCUCGAGGCCUCUCGAAGUGGAAAAAGCCAGGGCCUAUUACAGGGAGUGCAAUAGAUAGACUGGAAUCGUUGCACCCUUUGUUCCUUUCGUCAGGUCUCAUCGUGUUUCCUUGUCCCUGUCCUUGGAAUGCGCUUGGAUUGGAGAGAAGGGGGUGGAGCAGGCAGAGUGUUAGGCCAGACUUGUGUUACCUCAUCUCAUCUCCCUGAUGCCACACGCUACAGCCCUCUGUACCGUGCCAAAAUCAAUCCGCAGCCGGUAGCCGUGAGCUAGGAUGUGUUCUUGACGACUCCUUGUUCUUCGUUCUGCUUGUGGUGACGCGCCGCGUUGCGUUCAUUGCG